rnacentral:rRNA from 1 species
UACGAAGGGGGCGAGCGUUGUUCGGAUUUACUGGGCGUAAAGGGCGCGCAGGCGGCCGCAUUUGUCAGGCGUGAAAGCCCCGGGCUUAACCUGGGAACUGCGUUUGAUACGGUGUGGCUAGAGUUCGGGAGAGGAGAGUGGAAUUCCUGGUGUAGCGGUGAAAUGCGCAGAUAUCAGGAAGAACACCCGUGGCGAAGGCGGCUCUCUGGAACGCAACUGACGCUGAGACGCGAAAGCGUGGGGAGCAAACAGG